rnacentral:rRNA from 1 species
AAUAGAUACCCUGGUAGUCCUAGCCGUAAACGAUGAACACUAGGCGUAGUCGGUAUCGACCCCGGCUGUGCCGUAGCUAACGCAUUAAGUGUUCCGCCUGGGGAGUACGGCCGCAGGGCUAAAACUCAAAGGAAUUGACGGGGACCCGCACAAGCAGCGGAGCGUGUGGUUUAAUUCGUCGCAACGCGAAGAACCUUACCAGGGCUUGACAUGUGGCGGAAAACGGCGGAAACGUCGUCCUCCCGCAAGGGACCGUCAUGCAGGUGUUGCAUGGCUGUCGUCAGCUCGUGUCGUGAGAUGUUGGGUUAAGUCCCGCAACGAGCGCAACCCCCGUGGCAUGUUGUAUCUCUCAUGCCAGACUGCCGAGAGAAACUCGGAGGAAGUGGGGAUGACGCCAAGUCAGCAUGGCCCUUACGUCCUGGGCUACACACACGCUACAAUGGCCGGUACAACGGGUUGCCAAACCGCGAGGUGGAGCUAAUCCCUUAAAGCCGGUCUCAGUUCGGACUGCAGGCUGCAACUCGCCUGCA